UUGAUUAUUAACUGUAUCAACUUGAAUUUACUUAUUAUUAAAAGACAAAUUAAGUUGGGUUAAGUAUGGUCAUAUGGUUUAAUUAUUAACUGUAUGAACUUGAAUUUAUUUAUUAUUAAAAGACAAAUUAAGUUAGGUUAAGUAUGGUAAUAUGGUUUGAUUAUUAACUGUAUCAAUUUGAAUUUACUUAUUUUUAAAAGACAAAUUAAGUUAGGUAAUAUGGUUUGAUUAUUAACUGUAUCAACUUGAAUUUACUUAUUAUAUACUCUCGACUCAAUUGGACAGGCGUUAACGACGUUUCUGCUCGAUUAAGAAGACACUUCCUAAACGUAUCAAGCCAAUUUCCCUAGAAGUUAUUCACAGAAUGUAGCCGAACAAAUACGAAGAAAGAAUCCGGAGGGGAAUCAUAGUUCUCACACUUUUUGGCCCAAAUAGCCGGCCAAAUUUACUUUGGUCCGGUGAUCAAGCUUUUCACGCUUGUUUUCGACGGUUUUCGACGCUUUUCAAAGGGCGCAGUCUCUGGCCAACCGGUCUGUCAACUGUUUCCUAUUGUUAUCUUGGAGUCGAGCCGGAAACGGACACCGGUUUCUUAACGACUUUUCGACACCAGACGGGGCUUGUACCUGCCGAUCUCGAGGAACGGGAUGGAAUGUGGGCCUGGCAGGUGCGUAAGCUGCCUAUGUACAUGUGGACGAGCCUUAACGCCUCGUAGGUGAGCCGCGUGCAGUCGAUCGAGAACAAGAUAAUGCCGAACCGUUUUGGGUCACGAAUAUUUCGAAGAAUGGCUGGCUUCGAGAGUCACACAAGUUUUUUUUCUUCGUCACAUUUCGAAACAUUUUUUUUAGAGAUGUAAUAUCAAAGUUCCUCUCUUUUUACAGUUCUUCGAGGAAAAAGAAGUUGGACCAUUUCCAAUGGAACUUUAUCCCAGAAUGUCGAGACAUUUUUCAAAAAUUUAUUAGAUAACGCAUAACCAGUCGGAUGAAAAUUCAGAAGACAUAAAAUAUAAUACUCAGACAAGGAACAGCAAAGAAACUUAUAUAAUAAUUGGUUAAAAGCGAAAAACUAUCAUCUUAGUCGCGUUGGAUAUAAUAUAAGUAUAUUUUGUGAAAAAUUAUUCAGAAAGAAAAUAUAAAAUCUUUAGGAGAUCGAGUAUUUUUCCAACCAAUUGUAUAUUUCUACAUGAUGGAGAGAAAAGAUGAUCACGUCGCUGGAUUUGUUCACUGGAUAAUAUGCAAUAUAUUCAUCGAAAGUAUGGUUCCGCGGCAAAUCUGUGCCACGACCGAAAUAAUAUGGAUGUUUCGCGUGGCCGUGAUGGUGCAAACGGCGCGUGAAAAGAAAUUGGUGUAAAUCCUGUUUCUAAAAUUUCGUCAAUCUUGCAUUUUCGUGGCAUAUACCAGGAAUUUGAAUAAUUAUCUUAUCUUGAAUUCCAAAGAAAUCGUUCAUUCGCAUAUAAUGAAAUGUUGACUCAUCUUUGGACAAAGAGGAUUUGAAUAUUCAAAUUUUUUUUAUUGUUGGAAGCCUUUUAAAAAGUUUAAUGUGUUAUUGAUUAGCAGAUAUUUUAAAUUCAUAUAUUAUUAUUUAAAUAAGAUAAGAGAAAUUAUUAACAAAGAAUUUUUGAAAAUUCAUAUUUUCUUGGUUAAUUUUCAGAUGAAGCAAGAUUCGAUUCUGAUAUAAGGUUCAAGAAAUUUAAAAGUUGAUGUGUAGACGAUAUAAUAUCUUUUGUAAGCUGUUUAAAUAACGCGUUAAAUGAACAUUGAUGGAUUGUACAGUGGGAUGAUUAUUGAUAGACAUUGUAUAAUGUGGAUUAAACAAUGGAACGAUACAAUAGUACCUUGAUGAACAGAAUACAGCUGUUGAAAGUAUUUUUUCUUUUUCUUUUUUCUAACCAGGUAGUAAGAUAUAUAUCGUAAUGAAACAAGAGAUUGAAACUAAAAGUUGAGUGAAACAAAUUUGUGCUAUAAUUAUAAAAUUGAAACGAGAUCGAAAACGAACGACGACACACUUAUUAACGUGGCAGAAAAUUGCCACGUAACAAACCGAGUGAUAUUUUAUAUCAAAAGAAAAAGAUAAAACGUUAGAAAGUGAAAAGAGAAAAAAAAUAUAUUUUAAUUAAAAUUGAAAUUGCAAACUUCAAGUUUUGAGGUUAAUUCGUAUUCCGUGUAUAGCUAUGAGGUUAUUUGGCCAUGGACAACAGACAGCAAAUAUGUUUUAUUAUAUAAAAAGAUGAAGGUAAAAAAUGAAUAAAAAAAAUCAAGUAUCUUCGUACAUAAAAUUCUCUUAACGAAGCUCAGCAAUCGAACAAUAAAAAAUAGAAUAGCAACACAGGUUAAACGAAUCCAGCUGUUCCAGCGCGCGAGCAUCUCUCCUAUUUAUAAGAACGAGCUAAAGAAACCGAUCCCAGACGAGUCUCGAGGAAGAGACGGGUUCAACGACACAACGAAGGAUUUUUCACCGAACGCGGCGAACGGACGAGUUACGUUUUCCGUUUCACAAUGUUGAAUAUAUGCAAGGAUUUCACGGCGGACGAGUAUAAUCUCGUAAAUGAACAUCUCUUUCUCGUAAAAUCGAGCGGCCGGCCGCCGUAGUAAACACGUGGCACGUGCAUGUGUCUCGAGCUCUCAUCCGCUCUCAUCGCGCAUGAUCCAACGACCGCGCACCAUUGUUUAUUUCAUCGAUGCCAAAAAUAAUACACAAACGCGAAUAAUGGUUGCAAUUAAUCGAGUUAAACGUUUAGAUCGAAAAAGUUCCAAGCUCGUUCAAACGCUAAUGGAUCUAAAGUCGAGUCUAAGACCGAAAGUUGAAGCUUUGUCGCAACAUUCACUGGAAAUCGCUUUAUAAUUUGUCGUUUGUGAAAAAUGUCCGCUGUCCACGGCCAAAUAACCUCAUAGCUGUACACGGAAUACGAAUUAACCUCAAAACUUGAAGUUUGCAAUUUCAAUUUUAAUCGUUCGAGGGGAAUCGAGGAAAUUUGUACGAUAUUUUCGAUCUUAUCGUAACGAUUGAGAGAAAAA